rnacentral:rRNA from 8 species
AAAUUGAAGAGUUUGAUCAUGGCUCAGAUUGAACGCUGGCGGCAGGCCUAACACAUGCAAGUCGAACGGUAACAGGAAGCAGCUUGCUGCUUUGCUGACGAGUGGCGGACGGGUGAGUAAUGUCUGGGAAACUGCCUGAUGGAGGGGGAUAACUACUGGAAACGGUGGCUAAUACCGCAUAACGUCGCAAGACCAAAGAGGGGGACCUUCGGGCCUCUUGCCAUCAGAUGUGCCCAGAUGGGAUUAGCUUGUUGGUGAGGUAACGGCUCACCAAGGCGACGAUCCCUAGCUGGUCUGAGAGGAUGACCAGCCACACUGGAACUGAGACACGGUCCAGACUCCUACGGGAGGCAGCAGUGGGGAAUAUUGCACAAUGGGCGCAAGCCUGAUGCAGCCAUGC